GAAAUUACGCCUUCCAUGAAGCCGGAAUUGCUAGUAAUGGCAGGUCAGCAUACUGCCGUGAAUACGUUCCCGGGCCUUGUACACACCGCCCGUCACACCAUGAGAGUUGGGGAUACCCGAAGCCUGUGAGCUAACGUUAAGAGGCAGCAGUCGAAGGUAGAAUCAAUGAUUGGGGUGAAGUCGUAACAAGGUACC
rnacentral:rRNA from 1 species